rnacentral:rRNA from 1 species
CCAGACUCCUACGGGAGGCAGCAGUGGGGAAUAUUGCACAAUGGGCGCAAGCCUGAUGCAGCAACGCCGCGUGAGCGAAGAAGGUCUUCGGAUCGUAAAGCUCUGUCCUUGAGGAAGAAGGAAGUGACGGUACUCAAGGAGGAAGCCCCGGCUAGCUACGUGCCAGCAGCCGCGGUAAUACGGAGGAUGCGAGCGUUAUCCGGAUUUAUUGGGUUUAAAGGGUGCGCAGGCGGCACGGCAAGCCGGCGGUCAAAUCGCGGGGCUCAACCCCGCCCAGCCGUCGGAACUGCCGGGCUAGAGUGGGCGAGAAGUGCGCGGAAUGCGUGGUGUAGCGGUGAAAUGCAUAGAUAUCACGCAGAACUCCGAUUGCGAAGGCAGCGCACCGGCGCCCUACUGACGCUCAGGCACGAAAGCGUGGGUAUCGAACAGGAUUAGAUACCCGGGUAC